rnacentral:rRNA from 1 species
GACGAACGCUGGCGGCGUGCCUAAUACAUGCAAGUCGAGCGCAGGAAAUCGACGGAACCCUUCGGGGGGAAGUCGACGGAAUGAGCGGCGGACGGGUGAGUAACACGUAAAGAACCUGCCCUCAGGUCUGGGAUAACCACGAGAAAUCGGGGCUAAUACCGGAUGGGUCAUCGGACCGCAUGGUCCGAGGAUGAAAGGCGCUUCGGCGUCGCCUGGGGAUGGCUUUGCGGUGCAUUAGCUAGUCGGUGGGGUAAUGGCCCACCAAGGCGACGAUGCAUAGCCGCCCUGAGAGGGGGAUCGGCCACACUGGGACUGAGACACGGCCCAGACUCCUACGGGAGGCAGCAGUAGGGAAUCUUCCACAAUGGACGAAAGUCUGAUGGAGCAACGCCGCGUGAACGAUGAAGGCCUUCGGGUCGUAAAGUUCUGUUGUAAGGGAAGAACAAGUGCCGCAGGCAAUGGCGGCACCUUGACGGUACCUUGCGAGAAAGCCACGGCUAACUACGUGCCAGCCGCCGCCGUAA